UACGGAAGGCAGCAGUGGGGAAUAUUGCACAAUGGGCGAAAGCCUGAUGCAGCUAUGCCGCGUGUAUGAAGAAGGCCUUAGGGUUGUAAAGUACUUUCAUCGGGGAGGAAAAAACAAAACUAAUAAUUUUAUUUCUUGACGUUACCCGAAAAAGAAGCACCGGCUAACUCCGUGCCAGCAGCCGCGGUAAUACGGAGGGUGCUAGCGUUAAUCAGAAUUACUGGGCGUAAAGAGCACGUAGGUGGUUUUUUUAAGUCAGAUGUGAAAUCCCUGGGCUUAACCUAGGAACUGCAUUUUGAAACUGAAAUACUAGAGUAUCGUAGAGGGAGGUAGAAUUCUAGGUGUAGCGGUGAAAUGCGUAGAUAUCUGGAGGAAUACCUGUGGCGAAAGCGGCCUCCUAAACGAAUACUGACACUGAGGUGCGAAAGCGUGGGGAGGCAAACAGGGAUUAGGAUACC
rnacentral:rRNA from 1 species